ensembl:lncRNA
UCUUUUGAACCACUUUAUUUGCAUGAACCCUUUAAAUGAACUGAUUCCUCAAAAUGAAUAGGCCUAGUAUGAAAAGUAUAAGAAAGAGCACACUUAUUGUGCACUUGAAUAUUACUUUAGUUGGCUUGUCUGUCAGCCUUAUCUACAAUGUAGUUUUUGCUAUAGAACAUUCUGUUUUGCUUUAGAAUAUAGGUAGACGUAGUAACUACAUAUAGCUAAGCUAUUUUGCUACUUUUAGUUAUCCACAACACUAAUAGAGGUCUCAAAUAACAUAUUUAGAGAGCUUGUAGCACCUCUGGCCUUAUCAGCUGUUUGUUUGUGUCAAAGAAAGAAAGAAAAAAAGCCCUGUUACAAAAUGUUAUCAGACUUUCACCUGUUAUACUCAAUUAGCCCUCUGUGAAACGGGAGCCCUUUUUAAGGAGCUGUUAUCAACGUGCCUGCAUGUGGGCAAAGAGGGCCGGGAGGAAGUUGUGGCGCCCAGGGUUUAUUUUCAAAAUCUCCACCUUUGCUUUUGUGUGUUACUGUAGAUAACAAGUGGAGAGGCAGGCAACUGGCAACUGAUGACAGGGUCGAGAGGAGAGUCAGGAUGAGGGGGGGCAACCAAUAAGAUGCUUAGGUGAUGCCACUGAAGAGUGAUGACAUCGGCGAGUGAUGCAACACUUUCUCCACGUCUUUCUGGGGAAGGAUUUGAGAAAGCACUGAUAAGUCAUCAGGGACACAAACCAUACUCUGAUUUGCAUGCAGGGCCUGGACGUGGUGGAAAGUGCCGUCAGGCCACAAAGGCACCUUGGCAGAUAAUGAGUGGCGUAUUCCAGGUACAGCCCUGGAGUAUAGCUCCUCAUCAGGGGAAUUUUCAAUUAAGGGAUGCAGAUUAAUAAAGCAUAAUUGUGAGGCUCAAUCUACCCGUGGAGAGAGUGGGAGGAGGAGGACAUGAACGCACUCCGCCGGCAGAGCACAGCCCUCCAGACAAAACCGCACCAUCCUUUACUGCAGUCAAUGAAACCGCAUGGCCGACGUUUCGCAAUAAUGUACAGAAGCAGCACCUGUGGUUAUGUAAGAUAAUGGCUUGAGUAUAGGAACUGAGGUGGUGGCUUUUCUCACUGUUUAUCUUGUGAGUUAUGGACAAAUGUCCCACACAAUAUGCAUGCAUCUUCUGUUUGAACAAGGAAGAGUAAACAACAAGGGCAUGUCCCAGGCAUUGUUUUUAUUUUUAUUUUAUAUUUUAUGUUUUAUAUUUUUUUAUUUGAAUUUCAUGUUAAAACUGUGAAAAAAGUGGAAACUAUUUAGUAUAUCUUAAUGGUUUUUAUUUAUUUUCUAAUGCCUUUUAUGGUAAUAUUUAUCUUAAAAGUGUCAAAAUAUGUUAGUUAUUAAGGAGACAAAUUCAGUGUCAAUGAAGAGUUUGAGAUGAAAAAGGAAAAUGUAGGUAAAUAUGAGGUCUAGAAACAUUUUCUAAUGCCUUUUAUGUUACUAAUUAUCUUAAAAGUGUCAAAAUAUGUUAGUUAUUAAGAAGACAAAAUCCAGAGUCAAUGAGACAAUGAAGGGUUUGAGAUGAAAAAGGAAAAUGUAUGUUAAUACAAGUUAUAGAAAAAUUACAAGUUAUGUGAAAAUAUGUAAUCUUGUGAAAAUACACCAAAAACAAUGCUAAUGCUAAAAAUGCUAAAAAAAAUGGUUAAUGUAAAUAAGUAAUUAAAUCAACACACACACACACACACACACAUAUAUAUAUAUAAAAUUUGUAAAGAAUAUUCUUAUUUUGUGUCAUUUCCAGUUGUAAUUUCAUCAAAUUAUGUAAAAAUAAAGUAUUCUGUUUUAUUAUUUAUUAUUUUGAA